rnacentral:rRNA from 1 species
GACGAACGCUGGCGGCGUGCUUAACACAUGCAAGUCGAACGGAAAGGCCCUGCUUUUGUGGGGUGCUCGAGUGGCGAACGGGUGAGUAACACGUGAGUAACCUGCCCUUGACUUUGGGAUAACUUCAGGAAACUGGGGCUAAUACCGGAUAGGAGCUCCUGCUGCAUGGUGGGGGUUGGAAAGUUUCGGCGGUUGGGGAUGGACUCGCGGCUUAUCAGCUUGUUGGUGGGGUAGUGGCUUACCAAGGCUUUGACGGGUAGCCGGCCUGAGAGGGUGACCGGCCACAUUGGGACUGAGAUACGGCCCAGACUCCUACGGGAGGCAGCAGUGGGGAAUAGUGCACAAUGGGCGGAAGCCUGAUGCAGCAACGCCGCGUGCGGGAUGACGGCCUUCGGGUUGUAGACCGCUUUCGCCUGGGACGAAGCGUGAGUGACGGUAAUGGGUAAAGAAGCACCGGCUAACUACGUG